ensembl:lncRNA
UGAAUUAUCACAUUGUACCUCGUAAACAUGCUGAAUUAUUACGUGUCAGUGCAAAAAGAAAAGCUCACAGCCACCGUUGAUACAGGCACCAAAUCUCCUGCACUCACUGGCGAGGAAGUGAAGACCCAGAGAGGUGUAACAGAUGCCAACUGGAGCAGCUUCCUGGGCCCCAGGGAGUCCCCUUCUCUGGGAAUGACAUGGACACAGGACACAGAGCAGGCAUGGGCCUCUCCUGUACCAUCACUCCCUCUGGCCUCUGCUCUGUCUGAAGAGGACCUCAGGGCCCCUGGCAUCCUUGCUGACUUGAGACAUCCACUGGGAAACAGGCCUGGGGCUGAGGGCAAGUCACCCGGUUUGGCCAGGAGUGGGCUACAGGUGGCUUGGUCUUGAGGGAGGUCAGCUGGAGGUCCUAUUUUCAGCAAAAUGGAGAAGGGUACACAUGUUGGCAACAAGCGUCCAGAGGAAAUGGGGUGGACUCAUGCUGUAAUUCCCUGUGUGCACCAACUGGGUGUCCUAUAAUUGGACUUAACUCCAACAUUAUCCACCUGGAGUUCACACAGACCCCAAAGGUUAAGGGCUCAGUCCCUCAAGACUCCCCCCACUUCAGGUGCCAGUUGCACCUCAAGUCUCCCACAUGGGUGCAGGGGCCCAAGGACUUGGACCAUCUUCCGCUGCUUUCCCGGAUAUAUUAGUGGGGAACUGGACCAGAAGUGGAGCAGCCGGGACUGAACCAGCGCUAGUGUUGCAAGCAGCAUCUUAUGACUGUGCCACAUCGCCAGGGCCUGUGAUGGAUUCUUAACACAAUCUCCAAUCCUUUACCCACCUGCUGCUCCUCCCCAGGAGCCCACUGAAACAUCUCCUUAGAACAAAAGAGACUCACCUAAGGCAUGACAAGGGUUUUAGGAGUUCUGGCCAGGAACCAGGGACAAGAACCAAAAAAAAUAUAUUCCUUAUAUCACAACAUUACAUUCUGUGAAAACAUGUAUUUGAUGAGCUAAGCUGUAUUUUAUAUUAAAUAUGUAACCAUUGAAACAGACUAGCUUGCGUUGCAUCUCACCUAAAAUCAUCCGGCGGUUAUCAGUAGUAGCUGCUGCUCUGCUUGUUGGAGCGUUGGGGGUGGGAAAAGCAGCCAGAGUGCAGGCAGGUGCACGCCCCAGCUCCUCUUUGCCUGACAGAGGCCACACUUAGCCCUGUGCCUGGCACUCAGGGCGUGCUCGGGGUGACAUGGUGUGCACUGGGCAAGAAAACAGCACCGCAUUCUGAUCUGGGCUCACACACUGCCUGGCGCUUUAUUGUUUGUGCGAUUCAAGGGAAACUAAUUAGUCUUUCCAGUGGGGACACCAGCUACCUUACUGGGGUGUCAAGAGGCUAGCAACAGGGGAGCACAUACAGUACUGAGCACAGAGAAAGCCCUUAAUAGAUGCCAAUUUCCUUCCUCUCUCUCUCUCUCCUGUAUUUGUUGAAAUAAUUUGCACCACACAGCGAGGUGAUAUGGCCCCUCCUUUCCUAAAGGAAUUUGCAUUUAACCUCAAGGAUGACUCUAUCCUGGGACUAGAGGCAUCAGCAGUGCAGCUGAGAGGUGCGGAGGCGGAGCAGGCUCCCUCUUCUGGGGAGCAGUGUGUCUUUUCCCACGUGUGGGGCCGUGACUCCUCCUGGCUGGAGACGCAAGAGUUAAGAUUUGAAACUGCCUCCCUCUGGGGUUGCAAUCUCACUUCCUCCAGGGGCCAGGUAGGUAGUACAAUACGGCAGGAAAGAGAAUUGAGCCUUGAGUAUACGAAACCGUAGGAUGGUGCUUAUGGCAAAGUAGAAAGCGCUGAUAGAAUUCCAGUCCACAGGAAAGCAGCACCACCGUCGCACUGGCUACAUGAAACAGCUUUGACUGGGCUGGGAGCCUCUGGUUUAGAACCUCCUUCUGGCCGGCGCCGUGGCUCAAUAGGCUAAUCCUCCACCUAGCGGCGCCGGCACACCGGGUUCUAGUCCCGGUCGGGGCGCCGGAUUCUGUCCCGGUUGCCCCUCUUCCAGGCCAGCCCUCUGCUGUGGCCAGGGAGUGCAGUGGAGGAUGGCCCAGGUGCUUGGGCCCUGCACCCCAUGGGAGACCAGGAAAAGCACCUGGCUCCUGGCUCCUGCCAUCGGAUCAGCGCGGUGCGCCGGCCGCAGCGCGCCGGCCGCGGCGGCCAUUGGAGGGUGAACCAACGGCAAAGGAAGACCUUUCUCUCUGUCUCUCUCUCUCACUGUCCACUCUGCCUGUCAAACAAAAAAAAAAAAAAAAAAAGAACCUCCUUCUAGGGUUUCUCCGGGAGGGAAUAAUAGUCACAGUAUUUUGCCCCCAGAAGCUCUGGUUAUGGGAUGCCCGUCACUCCCCAUUAUAUUCCUGUCCAUCACCUCCAACUCUGGGUUGAGGGGCCCUGCUGUUGCUACUUCUGCCAGUCUUUUCCUACCUAGUGUAUAAACAAUCACUUGUGCAGACAGCACUGCGAUGUAGUAGGUUAAGCUUCCACCUGCAGCGCUGGCAUCCCAUAUGGGCACCGGUUCAAGACCCAGCUGCUCCAUUUCUGAUCCAGCUCUCUGCUGCGGCCUGGGAAAGCAGUAGAAGAUGGCCCGUCUUUGGGCCCCUGCACCCAUGUGGGAGACCCGGAAGAAGCUCCCGGCUCCUGGCUUUGGACUGGACCAGCUCCUGCUGUUGUGGCCAUCUGGGGAGUGAACCAGCAAAUGGAAGAUCUCUCUCAGUUUCUCCCUCUCUCCCUCUGUAAUCCUGCCUCUCAAAUAAAUAAAUAAAUCUUUUCUAAAGAUAAUUAUUU